GACGAACGCUGGCGGCGUGCUUAACACAUGCAAGUCGAACGGUGAUCCUCUUCGGAGGGGAUCAGUGGCGAACGGGUGAGUAACACGUGGGCAACCUGCCCCCGGCUCUGGGAUAACUCCAAGAAAUUGGGGCUAAUACCGGAUGUUCACCGCUUCCCGCAUGGGUGGUGGUGGAAAGGGUUUCCGGCUGGGGAUGGGCCCGCGGCCUAUCAGCUUGUUGGUGGGGUAGUGGCCUACCAAGGCGACGACGGGUAGCCGGCCUGAGAGGGUGACCGGCCACACUGGGACUGAGACACGGCCCAGACUCCUACGGGAGGCAGCAGUGGGGAAUAUUGCGCAAUGGGCGGAAGCCUGACGCAGCGACGCCGCGUGGGGGAUGACGGCCUUCGGGUUGUAAACCUCUUUCAGCAGGGACGAAGCGCAAGUGACGGUACCUGCAGAAGAAGCACCGGCCAACUACGUG
rnacentral:rRNA from 1 species